CAAACCCCCUCAUAACUAUUAUGGUAUUGAUGGAAGUGAACUGUGGUUAUGAAUGUUCCUGGUUCACCCCAUCGAAAUGUAUAGGCAGGACAAUCUACCUUGGCAACGGACUUAGUAACUGUUUUGAAGACAUAAACCAGUCCUUUGCUAGGUUGAGGCCUGGCCUCCAUGGACCUCCAUUCAAGACAAACUCUG
rnacentral:misc_RNA from 1 species